GUAAUGAGGUUGUAAGUUAUGAAAAGCCACGACCCAACUUAGGGAUUCAUCGUUUCGUGUUUGUAUUAUUACGUCAACGGUGUAGACAAAUAGUCUAUGCUCCGGGAUGGCGACAGAACUUUAAUACAAGAGAAUUCAUUGAACUUUACAAUCUUGAAUUGCCGGUUGCUGCUGUGUUCUUCAAUUGUCAAAGGGAAGCUGGCUCUGGAGGAAGAACCUUUACAUAA